GAUGAAGAACGUAGCGAAAUGCGAUACUUGGUGUGAAUUGCAGAAUCCCGUGAACCAUCGAGUCUUUGAACGCAAGUUGCGCCCGAAGCCAUCAGGUUGAGGGCACGUCUGCCUGGGCGUCACAUAUCGUUGCCCAAUGCCUAUUGCAGUGCAAUAGGAAUUUCUAGGGCGAAUGAUGGCUUCCCGUGAGCGUUGUUGCCUCGCGGUUGGUUGAAGAUCGAGUCCUUGGUAGGGUGUGCCAUGGUAGAUGGUGGUCGAGUUAGAACGAUACCGAUCAUGUGCAUGCUCCCCAAAAUAUGGCCUCUAUGACCCACACGCGUCUUUUGACGCUCAUGACGAGACCUCAGGUCAGGCGGGGCUACCCGCUGAAUUUAAGCAUAUCAUAAGCGGAGGA
rnacentral:misc_RNA from 1 species